AGUCCCGGCACUGAGGCUACUGCGUGUAUUUCGAAUAGAGAGAGCGGGUCUCCGUAUGUCUCUGUGUGUGGCGUGCGUUCCACCUCCACCAGCAUGGACCCAGAAGUAGCGUGACCAGUGUGCGCCUCGACGUACCUUUCGUAAUAGAUUACGUCAUCAGGAAGCGUCACUGGUCACGCAUAGGAAAGGUUUGCCUUGCUUACCUUUUCCCAGCUCUGGACACCAACCAUAUUGAAGCUGGAAGCACUUCAUAUACCUACAUGGAGACAGUCGUUCAAUUGGUCGCAGCCAUCAUCCAUUCGGUCAACCACUCACCUGUUCAUCUGGAUUUCCUUCCUUGGUGACAAUCUGUCAUUGACCAGGUUAAGGCAAUCUUCUGCUAUCCAUUGGGAUGUGCCUUGUAAAUAACUGAAGCUAAGAUGUUACUGCAGCAAUUUCAGCCCAUGUUACAGUACCCCUCCCUACCACCUUGCAAUUUUUAUAAUCAAGUGUUUGUUGCAGUCGUGCUAUUAGGGAUGGUAAAAAAAAGUGUAAAGCUUAAGGGACGAGUUGUAGUUAUUUGGUCCUUUAAAUGUUGGGCCUGUCCUGCUAUACUGUAUCUGGGCCAACAUUUGGUGGUUAUAAUAUGAUGCAGUUAUAAACAAAGUGGGUAACCCCAUAAUAAACAACAUUUGGUUCAAUCUA